GUACUUACUAACUGUAAGUUGCUCUGGAUAAGAGUGUCUGCUAAAUGACUAAAA
rfam:Salmo salar isolate Sally breed double haploid chromosome ssa26, whole genome shotgun sequence.